rnacentral:rRNA from 1 species
UUCUAUUAGAUAUAAUUAAUAGUAAAAUCUGCUCCAUGUUUAAUAAAUAGCCGCAAUUUGUGCUAAGGUAGCAUAAUCAUUUGUCUUUUAAAUGAAGACUAGAACAAAAGAUUUAACAUUUUCAGUUUAUUUUCCCAAUUUAUCAUAUCAAAUUUAUCCAAAAUGUAAAAAGACAUUUAUAUAAUAGAAAGACGAUAAGACCCUAUUGAACUUAACUGCAGUUAAACUGGGGCAGUAAAUUAAUUAUUAUUUUAAUAUAAAUUAAUAUAUAAAUAUCUAGUAUAAUUAAAUAAUUCAGUUACCAUAGGGAUAACAGCGUAAUAAUUUUCUAAAGAUCUUAUUUAAAAUAUAGAUUACGACCUCGAUGUUGAAUUAAUAACCUAAUUAAGGCAAAACUUAAAAAAGGAAGUCUGUUCGACUUUUAAAAAAUUACAUGAUUUGAGUUCAGACCGGUGUAAGCCAGGUCGGUUUCUAUCUUCUAAAAAAUUUUUUACAGUACGAAAGGACCUAAAAAUCUAAUA